UGGGGAAUAUUGGACAAUGGGGGCAACCCUGAUCCAGCAAUGCCGCGUGAGUGAUGAAGGCCUUCGGGUUGUAAAGCUCUUUCGCACGCGACGAUGAUGACGGUAGCGUGAGAAGAAGCCCCGGCUAACUUCGUGCCAGCAGCCGCGGUAAUACGAAGGGGGCUAGCGUUGUUCGGAAUUACUGGGCGUAAAGGGCGCGUAGGCGGCGCGAUCAGUCAGAUGUGAAAGCCCCGGGCUCAACCUGGGAACCGCAUUUGAUACUGUCGGGCUUGAGUUCCGGAGAGGAUGGUGGAAUUCCCAGUGUAGAGGUGAAAUUCGUAGAUAUUGGGAAGAACACCGGUGGCGAAGGCGGCCAUCUGGACGGACACUGACGCUGAGGCGCGAAAGCGUGGGGAGCAAACA
rnacentral:rRNA from 1 species